CAGCAGCCACGGGAAUACGAGGGGAGCUAGCGUUAUUCGGAAUUACUGGGCGUAAAGCGCACGUAGGCGGCUUUGUAAGUUAGAGGUGAAAGCCCAGAGCUCAACUCCGGAAUUGCCUUUAAGACUGCAUCGCUUGAAUCCAGGAGAGGUGAGUGGAAUUUCCGGUGUAGCGGUGAAAUGCGUAGAUAUCGGAAGGAACACCUGUGGCGAAAACGGCUCACUGGACCAUUACUGACGCUGAUGCACGAAAGCUAGGGGAGCGAACAGGAUUAGAUACCCCCGUAGUCCCUGUCUCUUAUAA
rnacentral:rRNA from 1 species